AAGUUGGGGGCUCGAAGACGAUCAGAUACCGUCCUUAAACCAUAAACUAUGCCGACCAGGGAUCGGCGGAUGUUGCUUUUAGGACUCCGCCGGCACCUUAUGAGAAAUCAAGGUUUUUGGGU
rnacentral:rRNA from 1 species